CAGUAGCCACGGUAAUACGGAGGGUGCAAGCGUUAAUCGGAAUUACUGGGCGUAAAGCGUGCGUAGGCGGUUUGUUAAGUCUGUUGUGAAAUCCCCGGGCUCAACCUGGGAAUGGCAAUGGAUACUGGCAAGCUAGAGUGUGUCAGAGGAUGGUGGAAUUCCCGGUGUAGCGGUGAAAUGCGUAGAGAUCGGGAGGAACAUCAGUGGCGAAGGCGGCCAUCUGGGACAACACUGACGCUGAGGCACGAAAGCGUGGGGAGCAAACAGGAUUAGAUACCCGUGUAGUCCCUGUCUCUUAUAC
rnacentral:rRNA from 1 species